rnacentral:rRNA from 1 species
GACGAACGCUGGCGGCGUGCUUAACACAUGCAAGUCGAACGGAGUGGCGAACGGGUGAGUAACACGUGGGUGACCUGCCCUGCACUUCGGGAUAAGCCUGGGAAACUGGGUCUAAUACCGGAUAGUGUGGGAUGGGCCCGGGGCCUAUCAGCUUGUUGGUGGGGUAAUGGGCUACCAAGGCGGCGACGGGUCGCCGGCCUGGGAGGGUGGACGGCCACAUUGGGACUGAGAAACCGCCCAGACUCCUACGGGAGGCAGCAGUGGGGAAUAUUGCACAAUGGGCGGAAGCCUGAUGCAGCGACGCCGCGUGGUGGAGGACGGCCUUCGGGUUGGAAACUCCUUUCACCAUCGACGCGGUAGAUGGAGAAGAAGCACCGGCUAACUACGUGCCAGCAGCCGCGGUAAUAC